UACGUAGGGUGCGAGCGUUGUCUGGAAUUAUUGGGCGUAAAGGGCUCGUAGGCGGUUUGUCGCGUCGGGAGUGAAAUCCACUGGCUUAACUGGUGGCUUGCUUUCGAUACGGGCAGACUGGAGGUAUGCAGGGGAGAACGGAAUUCCUGGUGUAGCGGUGAAAUGCGCAGAUAUCAGGAGGAACACCGGUGGCGAAGGCGGUUCUCUGGGCAUGUCCUGACGCUGAGGAGCGAAAGUGUGGGGAGCGAACAGG
rnacentral:rRNA from 1 species